UACUCAAGUCUCCAAAAUGACCGGCACUACGCAGAAUAUCUGAUCUACACUCCUUAUGCAUAUCAUCGGUCAAAAAGUGAAUGAGAAAAUCGCAAAGAAAGUUCUAUGUAGAAAUGGAAUUGACCUAAUCUCCAACUAAGCUCAAAAUUUGUGUGAUAGUGAUCUUGAUAGGCCGCCCCUGUCUAGUCUAAAUCAUUUCAAUUAUCUCGCUUUACCCUCCGACGUGGAGCCUUCGAUGUUUCCUCCUCUUUGUUUUCUUCAUUCUCUCCACUGUCUUGGUUAGUGGAAGUUUCUGCGGCAGGUGUGUUUGUUUUCUCCACUCUUGCCUGCACAAGAGACAUCCAGUGAUUAACAUAUAGGAAACGAUAACAGAGUUUUUUAGGUUACAGAGAAUUUCUACUUACUGGCUUUUUCUUCCCACCAAAUACAAUACGAAGGAAAAUUGUCAAGACAAUAACCACAACGGCUACAAGAAUUCCAACUGUGAGAUUCGGCUGCGUUUCACCCUUUUCAAUGAGAUC
rnacentral:lncRNA from 1 species